UACGUAGGGGGCAAGCGUUAUCCGGAUUUACUGGGUGUAAAGGGAGCGUAGACGGUGAGGCAAGUCCGAUGUGAAAACCCGGGGCUCAACCCCGGGAUUGCAUUGGAAACUGUCCCACUUGAGUACUGGAGGGGUAAGCGGAAUUCCUGGUGUAGCGGUGAAAUGCGUAGAUAUCAGGAGGAACACCGGUGGCGAAGGCGGCUUACUGGACAGUAACUGACGUUGAGGCUCGAAAGCGUGGGGAG
rnacentral:rRNA from 1 species